UACACGACCGUACCGCAAACCGACACUGGUGCGCGAGGUGAGUAUUCUAAGGCGCUUGAGAGAACUCAGGAGAAGGAACUCGGCAAAUUGACACCGUAACUUCGGAAGAAGGUGUGCCUUUAGUAGGUGAACCUGUACAAGGGGAGCCCAAUGAGGUUGCAAAAAAUCGGUGGCUGCGACUGUUUAAUAAAAACACAGCACUCUGCAAACACGAAAGUGGACGUAUAGGGUGUGACGCCUGCCCGGUGCUGGAAGAUUAAAUGAUGGGGUGCAAGCUCUUGAUUGAAGUCCCAGUAAACGGCGGCCGUAACGAUAACGGUCCUAAGGUAGCGAAAUUCCUUGUCGGGUAAGUUCCGACCUGCACGAAUGGCGUAACGAUGGCCACACUGUCUCCUCCUGAGACUCAGCGAAGUUGAAAUGUUUGUGAUGAUGCAAUCUCCCCGCGGAAAGACGGAAAGACCCCAUGAACCUUUACUGUAGCUUUGUAUUGGACUUUGAACAGAUCUGUGUAGGAUAGGUGGGAGGCUUUGAAGUGUGGUCGCUAGAUCGCAUGGAGCCAACGUUGAAAUACCACCCUGGUGUGUUUGAGGUUCUAACCUAGGCCCGUAAUCCGGGUCGGGGACAGUGCAUGGUAGGCAGUUUGACUGGGGCGGUCUCCUCCCAAAGCGUAACGGAGGAGUUCGAAGGUACGCUAGGUACGGUCGGACAUCGUGCUAAUAGUGCAAUGGCAUAAGCGUGCUUAACUGCGAGACUGACAAGUCGAGCAGAUGCGAAAGCAGGACAUAGUGAUCCGGUGGUUCUGUAUGGAAGGGCCAUCGCUCAACGGAUAAAAGGUACUCUGGGGAUAACAGGCUGAUACCGCCCAAGAGUUCAUAUCGACGGCGGUGUUUUGGCACCUCGAUGUCGGCUCAUCUCAUCCUGGGGCUGUAGCCGGUCCCAAGGGUAUGGCUGUUCGCCAUUUAAAGAGGUACGUGAGCUGGGUUUAAAACGUCGUGAGACAGUUUGGUCCCUAUCUUCCGUGGGCGCUGCAGAUUUGAGGAAGCCUGCUCCUAGUACGAGAGGACCGGAGUGGACACACCUCUGGUGUAUCGGUUGUCACGCCAGUGGCAUUGCCGAGUAGCUAUGUGUGGAAGAGAUAACCGCUGAAAGCAUCUAAGCGGGAAACUCGUUUCAAGAUGAGAUCUGCCGGGGCCUUGAGCCCCCUAAAGAGUCGUUCAAGACCAGGACGUUGAUAGGUCGGGUGUGGAAGCGCAGUAAUGCGUUAAGCUAACCGAUACUAAUUGCUCGUGCGGCUUGACC
rnacentral:rRNA from 1 species